GAUGAACGCUGGCGGCGUGCCUAAUACAUGCAAGUCGAGCGAACAGACGAGGAGCUUGCUCCUCUGACGUUAGCGGCGGACGGGUGAGUAACACGUGGAUAACCUACCUAUAAGACUGGGAUAACUUCGGGAAACCGGAGCUAAUACCGGAUAAUAUAUUGAACCGCAUGGUUCAAUAGUGAAAGACGGCUUUGCUGUCACUAAUAGAUGGAUCCGCGCCGCAUUAGCUAGUUGGUAAGGUAACGGCCUACCAAGGCAACGAUGCGUAGCCGACCUGAGAGGCUGAUCAGCCGCACUGGAACUGAGACACGGUCCAGACUCCUACGGGAGGCAGCAGUAGGGAAUCUUCCACAAUGGGCGCAAGCCUGACGGAGCAACGCCGCGUGAGUGAAGAAGGUCUUCGGGUCGUAAAGCUCUGUUGUUGGGGAAGAACAAAAGUGGAAGUAACUAUCCACGUUUUGACGGUACCUAAUGAGAAAGCCACGGCUAACUUCGUG
rnacentral:rRNA from 1 species